ACAACUCAGGGGUGUGUGCGUACGUGCGGCCUGUGCGCAUGCUCCCCCCGAGGCGCGUUGGGGGAAAAAAUAUUUAAAAAGAAGAAAAUGCCACCUCGUUGCAUCUGGAGAGAUCUGGGAGCCCUGUGCUAAAUCUAGAGCGAUGGAAAAAAAAUCUGAAGAGAUCUGGGGGCAGUGAAGCUACGUUAUCUGUUCAUGUGCGCCCAAGGUUGCCCAUCUUUCCCGGCGGCGCGGCGUCGGCGUGCUCCGUCCAAGAUGAGAUCAGCAAGGGCGCGGGCUGGGGGAGAGGUUGGGUGCCGGCCUCUUCUGUGGCCGCCCAUGACAGCUGCGGCGGCGCCGCCGGCGAGUGCAGCGCCGAGAACGCCCCAGCAGAGUCGGGGGAGUCGGCGAUAAAGCCUGAUCCGAAGUCGACAGGCCGGAUAAGAAGAUGGAGGCCUCGCCGUAGUGACUGCACCACGUGAGUUGGCAGGCUCUGCUUCAACUCUGUUUUUGACAUGCCACACUCCUGCAAAACAAAAUAGCAAGUGAGGAAAUCGAUGAAUGAGAAAAUAUUUCUACGGAUCCAAGAAACCUGCACUAAAAAACUGUAGGACAUUCUAAUUUUCAGCUUGAUUUGCAAAAUGAGGUUAUUUUU